UUGGAAGUAAAAGUCGUAACAAGGUUUCCGUAGGUGAACCUGCGGAAGGAUCAUUGUCGAUGCCUUACAUGCAGACCAACACGUGAAUCAGUUUGAACACAUAGGGUUGGUUUGAGGUGUUCAACACCUCGGCUUGCCUCUGGUUCGGAGGAGGACGAUGUUGUGCGUUCUCCUUUGUGCCAAAACACAAACCCCGGCGCUGAAUGCGUCAAGGAAUUUAAAAUUUGCUCUGAGCGCACCUGCAUGGCACCGGAGACGGUUUUCGUGCGGGUUGUGUUCUGACACAUAAUAUAGAAUGACUCUCGGCAACGGAUAUCUAGGCUCUUGCAUCGAUGAAGAACGUAGCGAAAUGCGAUACUUGGUGUGAAUUGCAGAAUCCCGUGAACCAUCGAGUCUUUGAACGCAAGUUGCGCCCGAUGCCAUUAGGUUGAGGGCACGUCUGCCUGGGCGUCACAUAUCGAAGCCUCUCGCCAAUUUCCUAUAUUGAUAGGGGUAUUGUGCAGGGCGAAUGUUGGCCUCCCGUGAGCUUUAUUGCCUCAUGGUUGGUUGAAAAUCGAGACCUUGGUAGGGUGUGCCAUGAUAGGUGGUGGCUGUGUUACGCACGAGACCAAGUAAGUCAUGUGCUGCUCUAUUGAAUUUAGGCCUCUUUUACCCACAUGCGUUUCGAAACGCUCGUGAUGAGACCUCAGGUCAGGCGGGGCUACCCGCUGAAUUUAAGCAUAUCAAUAAGCGGAGGAA
rnacentral:rRNA from 1 species